GACAUUCCUCUAAUCCUCUCCAUCCCGUCGCUUGACACAUCCCGUCGCACAUCCCUCCUCGCGACUCAUCCCAGCGAUUUAGGGCGCCGACACCACCUCUCCCUCUCCUCACCCACUCAUCCCGGCGCCCAUCCAGCGACGACACCAGCAUCGGCACCGACACCACCUCCAUCCAACCCCUCCAUCAGCACCGGCGUUGACAACAACAUCGGCGCCGACAAUAGCAUCAGCGUCGACACCAACAUCAACGCCGGCACCACCCUCGCCAAGGCUUUGAUCCACAAUUUUCUCCAUCAGUAUCGACGCCGACACCACCUCCCUCACCUCCGUUCCCCAUAAAAUCUCGCCAAGGCUUUGAUCCACCACCUCCAUCAGCAUCGGAAUCAUUAUUCUGCUUAAAGACGGGUUAUGGAUGUCAAGUUUGUUAGAAAUACUCAUUAUAUGUUUAGUGUGGGCAAAGAUCGACUUGUGAAAUAUUGGGAUGCUGACAAAUUUGAGUUGCUCCUAACUCUCGAGGGUCAUCAUGCUGAAGUUUGGUGCCUUGUUGUUAGCAGUCAUGGUGAUUUAAUUGUCACAGGAUCACAUGAUCGUUCAAUAUGUCGUUGGAAUAGGACUGAAGAACCUUUCUUUAUAGAGGAAGAAAGAGAGAAAAGAUUGGAAGAGGUAUUUGAAUCUGCCUUAGACAAUUUAAAUGAAGACAGAUAUGCACCAAAAGAAUUGGUUCCAGAUGAGGGAUCUGUAGGUGUGCUUAGCAAGGAAACCAUGGAUACCUCAGAUGGUUUGAAUGAAUCUGGAUUUUAGCCGAAUACUGAGAAUGUUGAUCAAGUGAAUACACAGUUGGCAAAUCCUCCAAUCAAUGCCACGACGCCAUGUUGAUGUUUAUGGCUCAAAUUAUCCUAGUGAAGUCAAGUACAUUAGUGGUCUGUUCAUACGUGAGCGCAAUAAGAGAAUAUUUGUAAUUUUAUAAGGG